UGGGCUUGAUAGGGCAAAGCUUGGAUAGGCAGAGAAGACAGAACUGAAUGCUGGGAAGAAGGGUGGAAUGAGAGACACCAUGAAUCUUCUGCCUGAGAUGGAGACUGGUUAAAAUCUUGCCGAGAUGAAGAGCAUGAGUGAGAAGAGGAUCCUUUCUCUGUACCAUGAAAUCUGAAAAGCACAAGAUCUGAGAAAAUGUAUUGCCCAUCCCUACACAUUACUACCUAUCUGUUUCAUAUCUCCAAUCAGGAAAGCCAUCCAUUACCACCUCAGGGGGAACCCAGUUAGAGCAGUGUCGGGCACAAAAGCCUCAACAAAACCAUCCAUCCUUUGAAGCCAAUAUCCUCAGCUUUUGUCAAAUUGGUACAUAAACUUCUGCUGUGGUUAAAGAGUUAUUCGUGGAUUCUACUGCAAAUGAGCUGAGAAGACAGAUAGCCUCGCUUCAGGUCAACAGAAAUCCAUAUGUUGAGGAAACAAUCACUGAGCAAUUUCUGUGCAAUAACCUGAAGGUGAAUUUAAACAAACAAACAAACAAAAAACCAAAGCAAGCAAUAACAACCAUAUAAGACCAGUAAACAAGCAGGCUUGUGAAUUGACUAGUCGUAUUAUAUGGAGCAAUUGGAACACUCCUACACUCCCCCAUUGAUGGAUGGAUUACAAACAUAUAUAACUACUAUGUAAAUCAGCAUGUCAGCUCCUCUGGACCCUGGGAACUUAUCUUCUUCAAGACCCAGCUAUAUCACUCUUGGGUAUAUAUACAAAGGAUGCUUCAUCCCAUCACAAAGACACUUGCUCAGAUCAGCACCUAACCCGGACAUCAACAGGGAGGCUUCCUCUGAGAGUUGAUAGGAGCAGAUGCAGAGACCUACAGCCAAAUAUCAGGCAGAAAACUGAGAACUCCACACAAUACGGGGACUGAAGGAACCAGAGGGGUCAAGAACUACAGGAGAACACUGCCCAGAGAAUCAACUAACCGGGCUCACAGGCGUUCACAGAGUCUGAAGUGGCAAUCAGGGAGCCUACAUGGGUUUCCAUUAUGCUUUUUGCAUAUGUGUUGUCGUUAUUUAGCUUGAGGUUUCUUAAGGACUUCUAAUAAUGGGAGUGGGGGUGUCUCUGACUAUUUGCCUGGUCAUGGAACCCUUUUUUUCCUACUUGAUUGCCCACUCCAGUGGUAAUAUGAAGGUCUGUGCCUGGUACUAUUGUAUCUUUUUAUGUCAUGUCCUGUUGCCAUGUUCCUGCACUUUUCUGAAGGGAAAUGGAAGACCAGUAGAUAUGGGGAUGG